rnacentral:rRNA from 1 species
AUUGAACGCUGGCGGCAGGCCUAACACAUGCAAGUCGAACGAGUGGCGGACGGGUGAGUAAUGUCUGGGAAACUGCCUGAUGGAGGGGGAUAACUACUGGAAACGGUAGCAAAUACCGCAUACCAUCAGAUGUGCCGCGAUGGGACUAGCUGGUUGGGGGGGUAACGGCGCACCAGGGCGACGAUCCCGAGCUGGUCUGAGAGGAUGACCAGGCACACUGGAACGGAGACACGGUCCAGACUCCCACGGGAGGCAGCAGUGGGGAAUAUUGCACAAUGGGCGCAAGCCUGAUGCAGUCAUGCCGCGUGUAUGAAGAAGGCCUUCGGGUUUUAAAGUACUUUCAGCGGGGAGGCGUUACCCGCAGAAGAAGCACCGGCUAACUCCGUGCCAGCAGCCGCGGUAAUAC